rnacentral:lncRNA from 1 species
AUUUCCCGACAGGGACUGCGGGUCUGGAUAUUCCGUCGUGGACUACGUUUCCCACUGACGACGGAGAAAACUUGGUCCUUUGGCUCCGCGCUGCGCGUGACCUGCAGUCACCUGAGCAAGAGGGCGGCGUGGGUCGCUGCGGGAGCCCCUACAGCCCCAGCCCGCAGCCCACGUGGCACCCUACAGGGCUGUGAGAGUGGGGCUGCUGGAGGCGUUCAGAGCGCGGAGGCCCCAGGCGCGGGCCGGGCUCUCUCCCGCCUCCUCAGGCCCGGGGGUGCUGGAGCUGCCGAGUGUCUUUGCUCAGUUCAAAAGCCACAGAAGAAGUUCUGGACGAUGUGGGCCUUCAAUCUUCUAAGAUGGGAAUAGAAAGAAGAGGAUCUACCCAGACCAGGACCCUGCUGCCCAAUCUCAGCUCUGGCUUUCUGGAUCUGUGCUUCUCUGGUAGAGGAACCCUGAGGACUGAUCUACUCUUGCAGUUCUAAAACCAUGGCCCAUGACAUGACUUUUCUAAGCCAGAUGUAAUUACAUCAUUGGAGCAAGGAAAAGAGCCCUGGAUGAUUGUAAGGGAAGAAAAAGGAAGAUGGUGUACAGGCCUCGCUAUUCCCUGGGACACAACAAUAUUGAACGUAGGCUAGUUAAUAGCCCUACAAUCUCCUCUAAGUGUUCGAGUGAAAGGAAGAGUCACAUGUGUCUCACUUUAAACCAAAAGCUAGAAAUGAUUAAACUUAGUGAGGAAAGCAUGUUGAAAGUCCAGACAGGCUGGAAGCGAGGUCUCCUGUGCCAAACAGCAGGCCAAGUUGCACAUGCAAAGGAAAUGUUCUCGAAGCAAAUUAAAAGUAUUACUCCAGUGAACACACAAUGACAAGAAAGCGAAACAGUUUUAUUGCUGAUGUGGAGAAAGUUUUAGUGGUCUGGAUAGAAGAUCAAACCAGCCACAACGUUCUGUUAAGCCUAAACCUAAUCCAGAGCAAGGCCCUAAUGCUCUUCAAUUCUAUGGAGGCUGAGAGUUGAGGAAGCUGUGGAAGAAAAGUUUGAAGCUAGCAGAGAAUAAUUCAUGA